GCACUGGUAGUUCAGUGGUAGAAUUCUCACCUUCCAUGUGGGAGACCCUGGUUUGAUUCCAGGCCAGUGCA
rnacentral:tRNA from 1 species